GUGGGGAAUAUUGGACAAUGGGCGCAAGCCUGAUCCAGCCAUGCCGCGUGAGUGAUGAAGGCCCUAGGGUUGUAAAGCUCUUUCACCGGUGAAGAUAAUGACGGUAACCGGAGAAGAAGCCCCGGCUAACUUCGUGCCAGCAGCCGCGGUAAUACGAAGGGGGCUAGCGUUGUUCGGAAUUACUGGGCGUAAAGCGCACGUAGGCGGACAUUUAAGUCAGGGGUGAAAUCCCGGGGCUCAACCCCGGAACUGCCUUUGAUACUGGGUGUCUGGAGUAUGGAAGAGGUAAGUGGAAUUCCGAGUGUAGAGGUGAAAUUCGUAGAUAUUCGGAGGAGCACCAGUGGCGAAGGCGGCUUACUGGUCCAUUACUGACGCUGAGGUGCGAAAGCGUGGGGAGCAAACAGGAUUAGAUACCCGAGUAGUCC
rnacentral:rRNA from 1 species